rnacentral:rRNA from 1 species
UACGUAGGGGGCAAGCGUUGUCCGGAUUUACUGGGUGUAAAGGGCGUGUAGCCGGGUUGACAAGUCAGAUGUGAAAUCCUGCGGCUUAACCGCAGAACUGCAUUUGAAACUGCCAAGCUAGAGUGUCGGAGAGGUAAGUGGAAUUCCUAGUGUAGCGGUGAAAUGCGUAGAUAUUAGGAGGAACACCAGUGGCGAAGGCGGCUAACUGGACUGCAACUGACGCUGAGGCACGAAAGUGUGGGGAGCAAACAGG